AUCUCCAACAUCACUCAUUCUCUCUUCUUCCUUGAGAUAUCAAAAUUCACUCUUCUUCUUCGAUACCAUAACAAAUCUUUCAUUCUCUUGUCUUUUUGUAAACACAACUAUCGUUUUUGAUCUUUCAUUCUCUCGUCUUUUCAACAAACAAACAACUAUCGUAACAUUGAUCCCCAUCCUCUCUUGUGACUCAUCUUCAACCCGAUCCAAACGAUUUCAAAUCCGGUCAACGACGGGCCACCGAAACGCUUUCACCGACUGCCAAGGAGAGCACCAAGACAAUGAUACAAACAACUAUCGUAACAUUGAUCUCCAUCCAAACAUACAAUGAUACAAACAACUAUCGUAACAUUGAUCUCCAUCCUCUCUUGUGACUCACCUUCAACCCGAUCCAAACGAUUUCACCGACGGCCAAGGAAAGAGGAAAACGAAGAAAGAGACAAAGAGAGACGGUGUUUCCAUGGCUCUGUUUUGUGUCG
rnacentral:lncRNA from 1 species